rnacentral:rRNA from 1 species
GACGAACGCUGGCGGCGUGCUUAACACAUGCAAGUCGAACGGAAAGGCCCCCACCUUGGUGGGGGUGCUCGAGUGGCGAACGGGUGAGUAACACGUGGGUGAUCUGCCCUGUACUUCGGGAUAAGCUUGGGAAACUGGGUCUAAUACCGGAUAGGACCAUGGUUUAGUGUCUCAUGGUGGAAAAAUUAUUGUUUUGGUGCAGGAUGAGCUCGCGGCCUAUCAGCUUGUUGGUGGGGUAAUGGCCUACCAAGGCGUCGACGGGUAGCCGGCCUGAGAGGGUGGACGGCCACAUUGGGACUGAGGUACGGCCCAGACUCGGACGGGAGGCAGCGGUGGGGAAUAUUGCACAAUGGGCGCAAGCCUGAGGCAGCGACGCCGCGUGGGGGAUGACGGCCGUCGGGUUGUAAACUCCUUUCGUUAGGGACGAAGCCACACCUUUUUGGGGUGUGGUGACGGUACCUUUGUUAAGAAGCACCGGCUAACUACGUG